GAUGUUUGUAGGUGUGCCUUUUCCAAUGGAUAAUUUGCCCUUUUCUUUGUGGAUCAGGCUCACAUUCCCUGCCAGUGCAUCUGAGAAAGUCUAUCUGAAUUAUUUCCUCUGGCAAGCAGCAAGAGCGUGUGAGUGAAACGUGCCUGGAUGCUGUAUCUUAAGACAGAACUAUGCUGGAAAUGUUCCUGCAGCUGUUCCUUGGGAAACAUCUGUGGUGCUGGGCGUGGAAAUUCGUGCAUCUCCAUUCACCCUUCACGGAGCACUUUGUCUUGUGAAACAGAGGUUCCCUGUGCCGCAGUGGGAACGGAGCUGGGGCUGCUGUUGGAGUGCUGCCUGCACAAGGUAAACUGGAACAUGUGUUCCACUCUGUGCUUUCCUACAGCACCUGGAGGAGGAACAAUAUCCACACUCCAGAUCUGUGAUGGCAAGACACACUUCGGAAUGCGGGGAAGAAAAGAAGGGAGCAACCACUGAGAGGAUUUGAAUACCAGAGACUGGAGCUGAGAGACUCAUCCCGUAAACAUUACCUGAAUGAUGUCACUGCACGGAGCUGGCUGGAGGUCGGUUCCAUUAACAGCAGUUGUUCAAACUGGAGCAGAUCCAUGCCUGAAACAGCUUUUAUCCUCCCCAGAAAUCACUCAGCAUGCCAGCUCGUUCACUGUGGGAUAGGAGGGACACUCAGGUGUAUAUGCUGGGAGCUCCGGCCCACGUCAGGAAUACCCUGGGGAAAAGUCGUGCGUGUUUAUGGCAAUCUCCGAGUCCUUGGCAUCAAAAUAAACUUGAGGAAAGUGUUGGCCGUCAUCACUGGCAUUGCAGACAGGGACUGUGCCUCGAAAUAGAGCUUGGCAGAGCUCAGCACUGAUGAUGGCUCGGUGGAGAAGGCGGAUUUGCUUUUCCAGCCUGUGACAUUUGAUAAACAUUUUCUGUUUAUUGGAGCUGCGGAACCUCAACAGAUCAAACCAGGCACUAAUCUUACAAGUCCCCUCCCGAGAUUUUUGUCUCCAGUGUGUACACACAUCUGACCGCUGCAGUUUGCAUUUGUCCUGGGACGUUUAUCCCUUCGUGUUUGUCCACGAGCACAUUGGAAGAGCCCCACAAAUCCUCCAAGCAAUGAUUUAUUUUGUUUUAUCUGGUCCCGAGGCCUCCAUUAAGCUGAGAAGCCUUCUGAUGCAGACUUUGACUUAGGGGGUUGAUCCACCACCUCCUUCCUGACCCACUGGGCCUUGCAUUCAUUCCACGGGAAGGGAAGCUUGGAAGUGCACAUCCCAAAACCACUGCCAACAUUGGGCUUCCCAGAAAUCUCUUGGUCUGAAGGAGGACACAGAGGGGUUCUAAAUCCAGACGGGUGUUUGGAACCCUCAAGGAAUAGCAUCAGGAGGGUCCCACAGAGGGUUUGACCCCGCGGGGGCUGUGCAUCCUCAGGCUGCUCCAGUCAGGUCAGCGUUCAUCUUUACCCUAUAUCGGGACACGGGAGCGCCGAGGGACAGGCGGUUUGAGGACACGGGAAGGGUGUAGGGACACGGGAGCACCGAGCGACAGGAGGUGCGGGGACACGGGAGCGCUGUGGGAUUGAGGGUGUCCGCCGCUUCCGUCCCCCCUCUCCGCCAUCGCCUCAGGGCGCGCGCGCACGGGCCCGUCACGGUUGCCAGGGCCCGGAGCAGUGGGCGGGGCGGAGGCAGAACUCGUUUGGCCAAUCAGAGCAGACCCGGCCGCGAUCGGCGGCCAAUCACCGAUGGUAAACA